rnacentral:rRNA from 1 species
UCGGGCGGGGGGCUUACCAUGCAGUCGAACGAUGAAGCCCAGCUUGCUGGGUGGAUUAGUGGCGAACGGGUGAGUAACACGUGAGUAACCUGCCCUUAACUCUGGGAUAAGCCUGGGAAACUGGGUCUAAUACCGGAUAGGAGCGCCUACCGCAUGGUGGGUGUUGGAAAGAUUUAUCGGUUUUGGAUGGACUCGCGGCCUAUCAGCUUGUUGGUGAGGUAAUGGCUCACCAAGGCGACGACGGGUAGCCGGCCUGAGAGGGUGACCGGCCACACUGGGACUGAGACACGGCCCAGACUCCUACGGGAGGCAGCAGUGGGGAAUAUUGCACAAUGGGCGCAAGCCUGAUGCAGCGACGCCGCGUGAGGGAUGACGGCCUUCGGGUUGUAAACCUCUUUCAGUAGGGAAGAAGCGAAAGUGACGGUACCUGCAGAAGAAGCACCGGCUAACUACGUGCCAGCAGCCGCGGUAAUACGUAGGGUGCGAGCGUUAUCCGGAAUUAUUGGGCGUAAAGAGCUCGUAGGCGGUUUGUCGCGUCUGUCGUGAAAGUCCGGGGCUUAACCCCGGAUCUGCGGUGGGUACGGGCAGACUAGAGUGCAGUAGGGGAGACUGGAAUUCCUGGUGUAGCGGUGGAAUGCGCAGAUAUCAGGAGGAACACCGAUGGCGAAGGCAGGUCUCUGGGCUGUAACUGACGCUGAGGAGCGAAAGCAUGGGGAGCGAACAGGAUUAGAUACCCUGGUAGUCCAUGCCGUAAACGUUGGGCACUAGGUGUGGGGACCAUUCCACGGUUUCCGCGCCGCAGCUAACGCAUUAAGUGCCCCGCCUGGGGAGUACGGCCGCAAGGCUAAAACUCAAAGGAAUUGACGGGGGCCCGCACAAGCGGCGGAGCAUGCGGAUUAAUUCGAUGCAACGCGAAGAACCUUACCAAGGCUUGACAUGUUCUCGAUCGCCGUAGAGAUACGGUUUCCCCUUUGGGGCGGGUUCACAGGUGGUGCAUGGUUGUCGUCAGCUCGUGUCGUGAGAUGUUGGGUUAAGUCCCGCAACGAGCGCAACCCUCGUUCCAUGUUGCCAGCACGUAAUGGUGGGGACUCAUGGGAGACUGCCGGGGUCAACUCGGAGGAAGGUGAGGACGACGUCAAAUCAUCAUGCCCCUUAUGUCUUGGGCUUCACGCAUGCUACAAUGGCCCGUUACAUG